rnacentral:rRNA from 1 species
GACGAACGCUGGCGGCGUGCUUAACACAUGCAAGUCGAACGCGAAAGCCCUUCGGGGCGAGUAGAGUGGCGAACGGGUGAGUAACACGUGGGCAACCUGCCCCAAGGAGCGGGACAACCCGGGGAAACUCGGGCUAAUACCGCAUGAUUCGCCGGCACCCCAGUGCCGGCGGCAAAUGGUAGCUUCGGCCUCCGCCUUGGGCUGGGCCCGCGGCGCAUUAGCUUGUUGGUGAGGUAACGGCUCACCAAGGCGACGAUGCGUAGCUGGUCUGAGAGGACGAUCAGCCACACUGGGACUGAGACACGGCCCAGACUCCUACGGGAGGCAGCAGUGGGGAAUCUUGCGCAAUGGGCGGAAGCCUGACGCAGCAACGCCGCGUGUGGGAAGACGGCCUUCGGGUUGUAAACCACUUUCAGGGGGGACGAAGCUUCCAGGGUUAAUAGCCCAUGGGGUGACGGUACCCCCAGAAGAAGCCCCGGCUAACUACGUGCCAGCCGCCGCUGUAAGAC